AUACGUAGGGGGCGAGCGUUGUCCGGAAUGAUUGGGCGUAAAGGGCGCGUAGGCGGCGCGGUAAGUCUGGAGUGAAAGUCCUGCUUUCAAGGUGGGAAUUGCUUUGGGUACUGCCGCGCUUGAGUGCAGGAGAGGUUAUCGGAAUUCCCGGUGUAGCGGUGAAAUGCGUAGAGAUCGGGAGGAACACCAGUGGCGAAGGCGGGUAACUGGACUGCAACUGACGCUGAGGCGCGAAAGUGUGGGGAGCAAACAGGAUUAGAUACCCUGGUAGUCCACACUGUAAACGAUGAAUGCUAGGUGUAAGAGGUAUCGACCCCUUUUGUGCCGGAGUCAACACAAUAAGCAUUCCGCCUGGGGAGUACGGCCGCAAGGUUGAAACUCAAAGGAAUUGACGGGG
rnacentral:rRNA from 1 species